rnacentral:lncRNA from 1 species
GCACAGCCACAUGCUCACUCCCCCUCAGUGGGAUGGGGGAGAGAAUCAGAAGGGUAAAAGUGAGAACACUUGUGGGUUGAGAUAGAAGUUUAAUGGGGAAAGCAAAAGCCAUAUUCACAAGUAAAGCAAAACAAGAAAUUCAUUCCCCACUUCCCAUGGGCAGGUAUCCAGGCAUCCGCAGGAAAGCUGGGCUCCAUCACACCUAACUUGGGAAUACAAACACCAUCACUCCAAACAUUCCCCCUUCCUCCUGCACAACAGCAGCCUACACUUCAGGUAAUUGAGAGCCUUAUGCUCUGCAAAAGCAAAAUUAGUCUGAGACAAUAUAUUGAUAUUUACAGCUUGGGAAAAUGUCUUCACCCGGUUUUCAGAGAAGGGCACAACUAAGCUUCAGUGCUGAGGCACCAUUCCGAGGAACGUGUGGAACGGGGCUUCCACACAAUGAUCAAGCCGGCCCCACUAAAACAAGCAGUGGCUCAGGAGAUCAUAAUCCACUUGCAUUUGAGAACAAGGAGCUAUUGUAAUUAGGACAGGCUAGGCCAUUUUCACAUGAAGCAGCUUUCUGAAAAGCUACGGCAACAUUCAAGGCUGGGACAGAGAACUGCAGAGAAAGCCCAAACAAGGAAGAACGGAACUGGACACACUGAUAUCUCCAGGUUUCUCAGGGGCCAAGUCAGGCACUGACUCACUGGUCUCACACAUUGUGUGCUCUGAAGUUGUGAUGAUGUUACAACUCAGAGCAGGACAAGAUGUGAGAUCAGCCACGUCUGAUCCUGCCCUCUCCAUAAAUCCCAUGAGACAAGGGCGAUGGCAAGGCUGGGCCUUCACUGCCUCUACAACAACUUUUUAAUUAACACACAGGGAAAAAGGCAGACACCUUGCUGAAAUAUGGCAUAUGGAGAAAUCAAUGGGACAUAUUUAUUUCCCAGCAGUCAGAUACUGCAGAUACAUUCCUUUUCAUUAUUGCCUCUGUCCCCUCCCUCUUCCAAAAUAAAGGCAUUUGUAAAAAUAGAAAGGGGGAGGGC